AGCGAUGACCAUGGAGACUGGGGUGAAAAUGAGAAUCUGCCAGGUCCUCAGUCGGUCCCAGUUCCCACGUGUUGAGUGUGUUUCCAGUGCCCAAAGGUACAUGCUUUCCGAUUACACGUAUCUGAACAUAACCUUCUUCCUCCUCUACAGAAAGAGCUGCUGUCCAUUCCAGUGGUAAGGGAGAGGGGACACCUGGCCAGGGUGACAGACGGUCAGCACUGUGCCUUUGUAUCAGGAAAGGCCACCACACCUGGACGGACCGGUCAGCAAAUGGUGCCAGCUCUGGCUCAUGAGAUUAGAGGAGGUGUCACCUCUGCCCAGGUCACUCAGAAAAAAGCCCCCUCUGGGCACCUACAGCCCCAGCACAGCUUCAAAUGCAGACAGGUCUUCAUGUAAAGAAAGACUUCUACCUACUUGUGUGGCCAUGUCCCCACCGAGGCCCGGCCUGGCUGGGAGCAGACUGGAUUUCAGUUCCAGUUGUCACUCUGCAUGGCUGCCCUGAACUCGGCUGUGUCAGACUCACUGAGCAGUGGUACACGGGGCCCCACACAGGCCUUCCAGGGACUUCAAGAGCCAUUCUCCUAUACAUGCUUUACGUCGUAUGCCUUGUCUUCAGACCAGGUCACCAGGUGCAAUGGGAUUCUGGUCGAUCCAGUUCUGGUUCAGUUCUGGUUCUGGCGAUGAGGGUUUGCUCUGACAAGAACAAGAACCAGAAACAAGGGCACCUCUUUCCAGUGUUACUAAAACAAGUAAACUGUCAGGAGGGCAGGCUUUGUUUGAAGCUUUUCAUAACAUAAAUACAAGUGAUAUCUUGGUUUCAAAGUGACAACUCUAAACCCUAGGCAAUAAAAUGCAGUAGAUUGGUCCAUUUUUUUCUUCUGAAGGAUGCUAUCAUUUGCCCUCUGUCAGUGCUAGGAGAGGGAAUGCAUUCCGUUUUCCUGGGUGGAAGCUGGAAGAUGUAAAUGUCGAAGGCUGUAGUGGACACAGGCUGUUUUGCCUGCACAGCAUCUGUUCCUUCUGAGACCAGCAUACCUGAUUGUCCCCUGGGAGUCCCCUCUCCUCCACAUGUUCUGGACAAGGCUGACCUCACUGUCAUUUCAGGGGGGCUGGGGAUGGGGGACUAUGACAGAGACCUAAGCCAGUCAGCAUAUUCUGCACUCCCAGACACAGAAAAUGACUCAUGGAAGGUGCAUGGAUAAAUGUGAGCCAAUGUGAGUCCUGCCCAGCCCCAGCAUGGGAAGUGAUAAGAGAAAGAAGCUCCCUCUUUUCCACAGAGGCUGCUGAGGGCAGAGGAUGCAACACUAGAAGCAUGACAGCCACCUUGGCACCAGGAGGAGGCUAACAAAAGAGGGCAGGGUCAAACGCAGAGAUUCCCACUGACAUCAUGUGAGCACCUGGACCAAACCAGUUCUGAAGCAGUUUCCCCUAGAGCUUCCAUUGCAAGAGAUGAAAAAGAAACACAUGGCUUUCUUGGCUAAAGUUAUCUUGAAUUGGGUUUUCUGUCAUGCAAUCAAUAGGGUCCUAACAACUGAGGGACUCAACGUCAGAAGCGGAACGAGGGCAGGCAGCGUCUGGAACUCAGGCCUUUCUCUCCUGGUCCUGACAUCCGCUGUGCUGGGUCCCAAUGAAGCAGCAGCCACAUGUUUGUGAGUGCCUACAUGGGGUCUGUCAUUUUUUAGCAGAUUAUUUUAUGUGGAAAUAAAGAAACCCAUUGGGG
rnacentral:lncRNA from 10 species